AAAAAACCUGUGUGCAUGAUCUCAGUGGAACAACCACAAUGUCUUGCUUUCUCAGCAAUGGUAAGGACGGACCCGAAGGAUGAAGCCUCUUUUCUGUCUAAAUCAAGGUCCUCCUAUUGCUCCAUCUCUCUUCUGUGCUCCAUCAGCAGUUUCAGAAGGCGGGCCCUUUCUUCUCCGGAGUUUUGUUGCAUGCUGAGUACUGUAAGAGCCUUUGAGCCUGGGAACAUUUUUAUUCACAUGUUGGAAUGCAGUUUCUCUUGGAUUUAUGUCCUCCAGAAGAAAAGUGUCAUUUAUUGUCUAAAAGAAAUGCGAGGAUCUGCCUUUCUUUAAUAACUGCUUGGAGAACCUCGUCUCCUCCUUCCUCUUCUCCACACUGCUCAACUGGGCUCCAGCUUAGACUUCUACCUGAUGCUCAGGUCUCCAAUUUCUUCCUGCUAAAAAUAACAGGUAUGAGACUCACAGUCUGGGAGUGGGGAGGAUCCAACCCCCUUCUGAGAAGCUUCUCUCUUCUCUGAGCUUACUCAAGCUGUUCCCUUCAAAUAAACCCCAGGCUGGAACGCCUUCUCCGCUUCUUUACUCAAGAGAGGAGGCUCCCAAGGGAAUAUGAGUUGCUUUGGGAGUGGUCUUUCUUUCUGAUAAUCUCAAUAAACCAUCCUCCAACUAUCCCUAAGUCUGUUUGGCCUGGAGUAAUAUCCUCAAUCAGCUUUGGACUAGGAGCCCCGGUCUUGACACCAUGGCUGUCUGAUUUGACCUUACUUAUUGUUCCUAAUAAAUGCAUUGUGCCUUAUCCCUUGUAUGGGAGGCUUCCACAUGUUUAUGAAUGUGUUUUUUAAACUCUGAAACACCCUUAAAUCCAAG
rnacentral:lncRNA from 1 species